rnacentral:misc_RNA from 1 species
GAUGAAGAACGUAGCGAAAUGCGAUAAGUAAUGUGAAUUGCAGAAUUCAGUGAAUCAUCGAGUCUUUGAACGCACAUUGCGCCCCCUGGUAUUCCGGGGGGCAUGCCUGUCCGAGCGUCAUUGCCGCCCUCAAGCACGGCUUGUGUGUUGGGCCCCCGCCCCCCGGCUUCGGGGGGCGGGCCCGAAAGGCAGCGGCGGCACCGCGUCCGGUCCUCGAGCGUAUGGGGCUUCGUCACCCGCUCUUGUAGGCCCGGCCGGCGCUUGCCGACACAUCAAUCUUUUUUCCAGGUUGACCUCGGAUCAGGUAGGGAUACCCGCUGAACUUAAGCAUAUCAAUAAGCGGAGGA